UUUUGUGAGUUUAUUUGAGCCAAACUGAUGACAAUUUGCAGGAAGCAUAAUCUCAGAUGAUUGAAUAAAUGCUCCAGAAAAAUGUCAGUUUGCACCUUAUUUUAUACAUUAUAAGCAAAAGAGAAGACAAUAAGUGGGUUACAUGAAAUCCUGUGGUGAUAGAUUAGGGAGGUGGGAAAAAGCAAAGCUGGGGAAUUUCUGAGAUUGAGUGAAGAGUAAAGCGGAUAGGCUCAUCCUUCUCUUACACAGAUGGGUACAAGAUAGUUACGUGUCAACAAGUAACACGAUAGCAAUAACGAGGGGAUUUGUGGUUUCUGCUGGUGAGGUACCUGUGCUUUGAGGGGUCCAGAGAAAGGGAGCUUUCUUUGACAUUCUGUUAUAGUAGGCGCAAAAAGACAACAGACAGGCUCAAUUAAGGUAAAGAUUGACUUUUGUCAGGGAGGAUUCUAGCCUAGGACAUGACUACCCACCAUAAUCUGCUUUUAGUUAAAAAUUUGUAAUUUCAGACCAUCCUACGUGGUUACUGAGUUAGCAAGGCCACCACAUAGGCCUCCCCUGAGCUUGUUAGGUUUAGUAUGUGUCCCAUUUUCCAUUAUAUUUUUAU